GAGCCAGACUCCUACGGGAGGCAGCAGUGGGGGAUAUUGCACAAUGGGGGAAACCCUGAUGCAGCGACGCCGCGUGUGGGAAGACGGUCCUCUGGAUUGUAAACCACUGUCCCCAGGGACGAAGAUGACGGUACCUGGGGAGGAAGCUCCGGCUAACUACGUGCCAGCAGCCGCGGUAAUACGUAGGGAGCAAGCGUUGUCCGGAAUUACUGGGUGUAAAGGGAGCGUAGGCGGGAUGGCAAGUUGGGUGUUAAAUCUACCGGCUCAACUGGUAGUCGCACUCAAAACUGCUAUUCUUGAGUGAAGUAGAGGCAGGCGGAAUUCCUAGGGUAGCGGUGAAAUGCGUAGAUAUUAGGAGGAACACCGGCGGCGAAGGCGGCCUGCUGGACCGUGACUGACGUUGAGGCUCGAGAGCGUGGGGAGCAAACAGGAUUAGAUACCCUCGUAC
rnacentral:rRNA from 1 species